CUGACAACCCUGGAGACAGAUGUCCUCCUCUCUUUAGCUGCAGAGCAGACAGAUCGGUACAAAUGUCCCAAAGCACACUGCCCCACCAAUGUGUCUCAGCCCCAACCUAGAGAGACCACCUUUAGUGGAAAAGAAAAACCAGUCGGUUCAUGGUCCAUUCAAUAGUUGGUCUUU
ensembl:misc_RNA